rnacentral:rRNA from 1 species
GACGAACGCUGGCGGCGUGCUUAACACAUGCAAGUCGAACGGAAAGGCCCUGCUUUUGUGGGGUGCUCGAGUGGCGAACGGGUGAGUAACACGUGAGUAACCUGCCCUUGACUUUGGGAUAACUUCAGGAAACUGGGGCUAAUACCGGAUAGGAGCUCCUGCUGCAUGGUGGGGGUUGGAAAGUUUCGGCGGUGGGGGAUGGACUCGCGGCUUAUCAGCUUGUUGGUGGGGUAGUGGCUUACCAAGGCUUUGACGGGUAGCCGGCCUGAGAGGGUGACCGGCCACAUUGGGACUGAGAUACGGCCCAGACUCCUACGGGAGGCAGCAGGGGGGAAUAUUGCACAAUGGGCGGAAGCCUGAUGCAGCAACGCCGCGUGCGGGAUGACGGCCUUCGGGUUGUAAACCGCUUUCGCCUGUGACGAAGCGUGAGUGACGGUAAUGGGUAAAGAAGCACCGGCUAACUACGUG